UACGUAGGGUGCGAGCGUUGUCCGGAAUUAUUGGGCGUAAAGAGCUCGUAGGCGGUCUGUCGCGUCGAUCGUGAAAACUUGGGGCUUAACCCUGAGCUUGCGGUCGAUACGGGCAUGACUGGAGUUCGGCAGGGGAGACUGGAAUUCCUGGUGUAGCGGUGAAAUGCGCAGAUAUCAGGAGGAACACCGGUGGCGAAGGCGGGGUCUCUGGGCCGAUACUGACGCUGAGGAGCGAAAGCGUGGGGAGCGAACAGG
rnacentral:rRNA from 1 species